rnacentral:lncRNA from 1 species
CAUUAAAUGACUUUCAUGCAAAUCAAGUCACAUGGUUCAGUAUCCUUUACGCGGCAAUUUACCAGCUUAGUCACGCGGCAAAGAUUUUUACACGGCAAUGGCAGAUUUUUAGAUUUUUUUAUAAUUAUAUUGUAAUUAGAAUUUCUUUUCCAAAUUAACUUCUAUUUCCUUAUAGCAAUUAGGGUUAUAGCUUAUAAAUUCCUAUUAGGAUUUGGAUUAUUUUGAGUAGUAUAAAUAGAGGUUCAAGUUAUGUAAUCAAACACAAUAUACAUUAUUCAUUAUUCAAUAUAUUUGUAAGGUUAUUCUCUACUUUUGGUUCUUUGAAGAAUUCCUAAGUAUUUUUCUUAGUUAUUUCUUUGAGAUUCAAUUUGACUUAUCAUACAACAAUUCAUAGUUGUGUGUAGCGUCUUCUACCGCAUCAAUCGUCGAUUGUACCGAGAUUACCGCUUCAAUAUAAGCGAGGGGUCAAGAUGUCAUUGGUGUCCAUUCAACGCAGAAUUCUGAACGCGAGCAAUUGUACCAAGAUUACCGUCUACAUAUAGGCGAGGGGUUAAGAUGUUACAAGCAAUUCACCCAACAACUAUGCUAGAAACGAUCGAAGCGACGACCACCUCACGCAAACGGGUCGUGGAGUCUAUCAUUCAAAUGAUCGGGGCGACGACCACCUCCACGACCCGCUUAAAAUCUGCCAUUGCCGUGUAAAAAUCUUUGCCGCGUGACUAAGCUGGUAAAUUGCCGCGUAAAGGAUACUGAACCAUGUGACUUAAUUUGCAUAAAAGUCAUUUAAUGUAAUUAUUAAUCCAUGUAGUCACUUUGCAUGCCAGAACCCCUUAUAUAUAUCUCUGUUGAAUUUAUCCACAUGUGAAUUGAAAACUUGC